UGGGGAAUAUUGGACAAUGGGGGCAACCCUGAUCCAGCCAUGCCGCGUGAGUGAUGAAGGCCUUCGGGUUGUAAAGCUCUUUUGGCGGGGACGAUGAUGACGGUACCCGCAGAAUAAGCCCCGGCUAACUUCGUGCCAGCAGCCGCGGUAAGACGAAGGGGGCAAGCGUUGUUCGGAAUUACUGGGCGUAAAGGGCGCGUAGGCGGUCUGCUUAGUCAGGCGUGAAAGCCCUGGGCUUAACCUGGGAUGUGCGCUUGAUACUGGCAGGCUUGAGUGUGGGAGGGGUUGGUGGAAUUCCCAGUGUAGAGGUGAAAUUCGUAGAUAUUGGGAAGAACACCGGUGGCGAAGGCGGCCAACUGGACCACAACUGACGCUGAGGCGCGAAAGCGUGGGGAGCAAACA
rnacentral:rRNA from 1 species